rnacentral:lncRNA from 1 species
AACCAAAGCAUUUAGAGCAAAUCUGACAUGGGAUAAUAUUGUUUAUCAGGUCAAGAUCUAUCUGCCCUGAAAUUUUCAGAUGAAUCAGACAACCUGUUGUUGGGUUGCUGCCCCUGAAUUGGUAAUUUUAAGGAAAUUUUGCUGUUUUUGGUUAUUAUCUUGAAUAUUAUUAUAGAUAGAGAUAAACUGUAAACAGCAAUAAUGUUCAGCAAAGUAAGAUCUACAAAUAAGUCAACAUGACCAAAAUGGUCAGUUGACCACUUUAGGAGUUAUUGCCCUUUAUAGUCAAUUUUUAACCAUUUUCGUAAAUCUUAGUAAUCUUUUAGAAAAAUCUUCUUCUGAAACUACUGGGCCAAAUUUAACCAAACUUGGCCAUAAUCAUCAUUUGGGUAUCUAGUUUAAAAAAUGUGUCCGAUGACCUGGCCAACCAAC